GGUCGGGGCGCGGGUCGGGGCGCGGGGCGACCCUCCCUUCUGGCCCGGCCGCCGCGCCUGCUCGCAUCCUCCUGGCUCUCCUUCCUUUGGUCCCUGCGUCUGGGCCAGGCCCCGCGCCCUCCCCCGGGGUUAGGUGAGGAUUCCGUGAUAGGCGCCCGCAGCAGGCCGCCGCCAGCAGGGGCCACUUCUGGUUCUUCCCUGCGUGGAGGGUGAGUCUGCAGAGCUAAGAUGUCACAUCCUUCCCGGUCACCGCUAAAACCUCAUCAUCCCGCUGCUGACCAGGGGACCGGGUCAGAGCAGUGUAGACGUUAAGAACACGCCCCGGCAGCCCCUUCCUCGUGGGACGCUGGACAAGACAGUUAGGCAGCCUUAGGGUGGGCUCGCCGCACCGAGCCUCGGGCGCGCUGGGCAGCCAGCGAGGGAACUUGGGGUGCGGGGCCCUGAGCGAGGGCUCCCUCCUUUUUCCCCUUAAAGCAGUAGUAGUGUUUUCCAACCAGCGUGCAAACCUCCCGGCACCGGCCCUGCCGGAUCACUGAAGACAGUUUGGCUGCCCUGAGGAAUCCGGUCCAUUCCGAGGCCUCUGCACCUCAAUGGUACCCCUGGUGUGGGCAGCCAGCGGAGGCUUGGGCCGCGCCCAGGGCGCGGAGGGCGGCGUCCCUGUCGCGCCGGCGGACUUUCGCCGCUGGGACCUGAACGGCGGGACCUGGUGACCUUCUUUGAGCUCCUUUGUCCUCCCUCGCGGGAACUGGGUCGGCGUCCCUUCCCUGGAAACCCUGCCCCCGCCUCGCGGCCCUUUGAAGGGCUGCUGUGCCGUGGCUGGCGACCUUCUUUCUCCACCGCAGAGGCUGCAGUUCUGCGCUCCUGAGCAAAUGUGUCCCAGAGGAGCCCCCAUGCCUUGGCUGGACGCCAAAGCACCAGCCCUCGCCCGGGAGAGGGCUCUUCUGACGGGGCCACGGCGUCGUCCCCAGAUGGAAAGAAUCCCAGGGCCCGUCCCCAUGAGCACAGCGCCUGCUCUUCCCGGAGGAGAAGGAAGAAAUGGUGAAGAGUGGGGGAAGCCAACGUUCAGUCAAUCUAGACCUGUCGUACACGCCACUGCCUUCAUCCUCGCCACAGCCCCUUUCCACAGCCCCUUGGUGGACGAGCGGAUGGGGAUUGGAGCUACCAAGAAAGUUGUCCAAGAUGGCAGAAUGGGUGGCAACCUCCCUCAGGUGAGGAGAAACAUCAAGAAAAAGGGCAGCUUGUCCUUGUGUGCGUCGUGGGCCUUGGUGAUGACCGUGGGAACGCUGAGCAGGAGGUUGUGGAAUGGGUGGGCUGGUAACUGCUUUUAACAUGGUGGGCCAUGCAGGCUGCUAAACUUGCCCUCUAAUUAUUUUAUUUCCCCCUCAUAAAAUGGCCAUGAAGCUCUUUUUGCAAAGGAGGAAAUCAGGGGCGGUACCUGUGCCAGAAUCCUAGGCCAGCGCCGUCUGACUACAGAACCUGCGCCCACGGACCCCUGUCUGUUGGAGCAGACAUAGAGGCAGACAAAAACUGCCAGCUCAAGCCCGUGGCCAAGAGGUCUGCAAUCUCCCGGCUCUGGUGACAGACCCAUCAGAAUUUUGACCUUAAAAGAAAACUUUUGACUAAUUGUAUAUUCAGAAAAAACUCUAGCAUUUGCAUGUCUAAAAUAAGUAGGGAGAGGGAAGAAGAGAUGUGAUGUGGGGGCAUUUUUAGGACUUGGAGUUGUCCUGGGUAGUGCUACAGGGACAGAUGCUGGACAUUGUAUAUCCUGCCAUGGCCCACUGGGUGGACUGGGGGAGAGUGUAAACUACAAUGUAAACCACUAUCCAUGUGGUGCAGCAGUGCUCCAAAAAGGAAUUCACCAAAUGCAAUGAAUGUACCACAAUGAUGAAAGAGGUUGU
rnacentral:lncRNA from 1 species